UACGUAGGGUCCAAGCGUUAUCCGGAAUCACUGGGCGUAAAGCGUCUGUAGGUGGCGUGUUAAGUGUGAUGUUAAAUCGCGGGGCUCAACCCUGUCGCUGUAUCACAUACUGGCACACUAGAGGACGGCAGAGGCAAGUGGAAUUUGUAGUGUAGCAGUGAAAUGCGUAGAUAUUACAAGGAACACCAAUGGCGAAGGCAGCUUGCUGGGCCAAUCCUGACACUGAGAGACGAAAGCGUGGGGAGCGAACAGG
rnacentral:rRNA from 1 species